CAUGCAAGUCGUACGAGAGUUUUUAACUCAAGUGGCGGACGGGUGAGUAACACGUAAGAAUUUGCCUUUAGGAGGGGGACAACAACUAGAAAUGGUUGCUAAUACCCCAUAUGCUUUCGAGUGAAACGGAUUUUUCCGCCUAGAGAGAAGCUUGCGGCUGAUUAGCUUGUUGGUGAGGUAAUGGCUUACCAAGGCGACGAUCAGUAUCUGGUUUGAGAGGACGAUCAGACACACUGGAACUGAGACACGGUCCAGACUCCUACGGGAGGCAGCAGUGGGGAAUUUUCCGCAAUGGGCGAAAGCCUGACGGAGCAAUACCGCGUGAGGGAUGACGGCCUAUGGGUUGUAAACCUCUUUUUUCAGGGAGGAAUCAAAUGACGUGUACCUGAAGAAUAAGCAUCGGCUAACUCCGUGCCAGCAGCCGCGGUAAGACGGAGGAUGCAAGUGUUAUCCGGAAUCACUGGGCGUAAAGCGUCUGUAGGUGGUCCAAUAAGUCAACUGUUAAAUCUUGGGGCUCAACCUCAAAAUCGCAGUCGAAACUAUUAGACUAGAGUAUAGUAGGGGUAAAGGGAAUUUCCAGUGGAGCGGUGAAAUGCGUAG
rnacentral:rRNA from 1 species